rnacentral:lncRNA from 1 species
UCUGAAUGAAGACUCCUCUGGGGAGGGAAGAGGCUCGUGGCUCUCAGAUGUGGCAACCACCUCCUUCAUAUGACUUAAGGAACAUUUCUCAGAAAACCUUGUCUGUAAUGAAGCCACUGGUGUUACUACCUGCAGUAUACCAAGAAAGGGAAGGAGUUUCUGGAACAGUGCUGUGAUGUGACUUCCACUUGGUGAGUUCUGGCCACACUAGUUGUGUGAUUCACUUCCUCUUCUGUUACU